CACCACUUCACCUCCCGUGAUGGCAUGGCCUCCUCCACGUUGGUCCAAUCCAAUGUUUCUAAUAGAGGAGCAUUGCAGACCUGAUGCACAUAAGCGCUGGGUGCCACAGGUGCAUCCAGUGCCACAUAAGUGCCUCUAGUGGGCGAUAUACUGACAACCAUUAGAGAAGAAUUUAACCAUGAAAUGGAAAAAAAGCAGUUUCUUAAAAAUGACAUUGUUUUAUAUUGCAGGGUUAAAAUGACAGGACCACUGUAACCCAGGCCACUUCAUUG